CUACGGGACGCUGCAGGCGAGAAAACUUUGCAAUGUGCGAAAGCACGACAAGGUUAAUCCGAGUGGUUUGUGCUAAACGAACCUUUUGACAGUCCUAGAAACACUGUUGAAUAAGGGGUGGGCAAGUUCUGGUGUCAGCCGCCGCGGUAAAACCAGCACCUCAAGUGGUCAGGAUGAUUAUUGGGCCUAAAGCAUCCGUAGCCGGCUCUGUAAGUUUUCGGUUAAAUCUGUACGCUCAACGUACAGGCUGCCGGGAAUACUGCAGAGCUAGGGAGUGGGAGAGGUAGACGGUACUCGGUAGGAAGGGGUAAAAUCCUUUGAUCUAUUGAUGACCACCUGUGGCGAAGGCGGUCUACCAGAACACGUCCGACGGUGAGGGAUGAAAGCUGGGGGAGCAAACCGGAUUAGAUACCCCAGUAGUC
rnacentral:rRNA from 1 species